rnacentral:rRNA from 1 species
AGUGGAUGGGGAGCAACCUAGUUGUGCGUGUGUAAAGGUAGUGCCAAGAAAAGCGAUGAUCAUGUUGAAAAUCAAUUCCCGGUACCCGAAACCGACACAGGUGGGCAAGUAGAGAAUACUAAGGGGCGCGAGGUAACUCUCUCCAAGGAACUCGGCAAAAUGACCCCGUAACUUAGGGAGAAGGGGUGCCACCGAGAGGUGGUCGCAGUGAAGAGGCCCAGGCGACUGUUUAGCAAAAACAUAGGUCUCUGCAAACUCGAAAGAGGAGGUAUAGGGGCUGACGCCUGCCCAGUGCCGGAAGGUUAAAGAAGUUGGUCAGUUUUAGGAUGAAGCUAGCGACUGAAGCCCCGGUGAACGGCGGCCGUAACUAUAACGGUCCUAAGGUAGCGAAAUUCCUUGUCGGGUAAGUUCCGACCCGCACGAAAGGCGUAACGAUCUGGGCGCUGUCUCGGAGAGAGGCUCGGCGAAAUAGGAUUGUCUGUGAAGAUACGGACUACCUGCAUUUGGACAGAAAGACCCUAUGAAGCUUUACUAUAGCUUGGAAUUGUGUUCGGGCUUCCUGUGCGCAGGAUAGGUGGGAGGCGAAGAAGGUAUUCUUGUGGGGAUACUGGAGCCAACGGUGAGAUACCACUCUCAGGAGGCUAGAAUUCUAACUUAAUUAAGGACAGUUUCAGGUGGGUAGUUUGACUGGGGCGGUCGCCUCCAAAAAGGUAACGGAGGCGUACAAAGGUUCCCUCAGACUGGUUGGAAAUCAGUCGCAGAGUGCAAAGGCAGAAGGGAGCUUGACUGCGAGAAGUACAGUUCGAGCAGGGUGGAAACACGGUCUUAGUGAUCCGACGGUGCUGUGUGGAAGGGCCGUCGCUCAACGGAUAAAAGUUACUCUAGGAUAACAGGCUGAUCUCCCCCAAGAGUUCACAUCGACGGGGAGGUUUGGCACCUCGAUGUCGGCUCAUCGCAACCUGGGGCGGAAGUACGUCCCAAGGGUUGGGCUGUUCGCCCAUUAAAGCGGUACGUGAGCUGGGUUCAGAACGUCGUGAGACAGUUCGGUCCAUAUCCGAUGUAGGCGUGAGAAUAUUGAGAGGAGCCUUCCUUAGUACGAGAGGACCGGGAAGGACGCACCGCUGGUGUACCUGUUAUGAUGCCAAUUGUAAACGCAGGGUAGCCAAGUGCGGAGAGGAUAACCGCUGAAAGCAUCUAAGUGGGAAGCCCACCUCAAGAUGAGUAUUCUGGUGUAAGGUCACGGGAAGACGACCCGUAAAUAGGCACGAGGUGGAAGUGCAGAGAUGUAUGAAGCCGAAGUGUACUAAUAGACCGUCGGCUUGAC